UCAACUCAGCUUUGAAUAUUAAUUUGUCAGAAAAUAUUCGCUAAAAUAUAUUUUCUUUUUGUAAAAAAAAAAAAAACGUAAAUUCACAUUAAUCACAAAUUAUUUUCAAGAAUAAACAAACCGCAUUUUCUUGGUGUGGCACGAAAUAACUUUACACCGUCCUUUAUCAUCCUCUCGCGAGACUUCAUCGAGAAGCGCAAAAUAGGAGUUCAAGGAGCGGCAAUGUUUAGAGAGACUGGUGAAAUGUAAUGAAAUGCACAACUUACGCCCAAGAUUGACUCUAAUUCUUCACAUAAACCAUGUUCUCUUUCCCAAAAAUCUUGGUUUCGCUAGGAGUGCAGUAAAGGGAAUGUUGGAAGAAGUGUAGAUAUCAUGGCCACAGGCCAGUGGGCUAGAACCUUGAAGCCUGGCAAGGAUUAUGAGACUGGAAACUCCCAUUGAGACUACCAAAUGAAGAGAAAGUUUCAGACUGUUUAACUCGGACUAAGGGAAAAGAAGCAAAUUACAACAAGGAGAAUAUUGCGGAGAAAGCAAAGACAAGUGAAAAGUCGAGUGAAGAAAAAGCAAACAAGGCUUCACGAUCUGCAACUAGGCCACUGACGAUGAAGAAGAAAAAUGUACAGCUAAAGAAGAUACAUCAGUGAUCAACUAAAGCUGGGCGACUUAUAUUGGAUUCACGAGGUGCAGGGGGGAUAUUAAUUUGGGUCUGUUUAUCUUUC